rnacentral:rRNA from 1 species
UACGAAGGGGGCUAGCGUUGCUCGGAAUCACUGGGCGUAAAGCGCACGUAGGCGGCUUCUUAAGUCAGGGGUGAAAUCCUGGAGCUCAACUCCAGAACUGCCUUUGAUACUGAGGAGCUCGAGUCCGGAAGAGGUGAGUGGAACUGCGAGUGUAGAGGUGAAAUUCGUAGAUAUUCGCAAGAACACCAGUGGCGAAGGCGGCUCACUGGUCCGGUACUGACGCUGAGGUGCGAAAGC